UUACAUUUUUCUUUUACAGUCAUUUUCUUAAUGGGUGCAUUCUUAUUAGUAACUGGAAUAAAUAGUUUCAUAAAUGUGUCAAGUGCAGUGUCUGGUUGCUCAUCAUUACACACCACAGACCAGCAAAUAUUCUUUACAUGAUCAACAUAGGAAUCACUACAAAACCUCUUGUAGGACCUUUUAUACACAAUAUUAAGUCCAGCCUUUGGAACACUGGUUUUCCUAGAUAUGGUAAUAUUGUGAUCACUAUAGCCAUUGGAUUUGGAUACUGCUUUACAGCAGAUUUCUCUAUCAUUAGUAAAGAUGUGGAUGAUUUCAUUCUCCUCUAUAGCCAGGCUGGUUUCCUCUUGGUAGAGGUCCUAAGUCAGAUCCAGUCAACUGGCUUUUAGUCAGUGUGAAUUAAUGGGAGCUGGUACCAGAGAUAAUGGUAAUGGCUGAUAGCAAUUCUGUCUGCCGUUGAAAGCAAUCGUUUUGUCAUUCACUCAUCUGUGGUAGAUGAGAGCUAAGAUCCUGUGUUGUGUCUGCCCUUCUUACUGUGAGGGCAACUGGGCCGAAAGGAAGUCAUUUCACCUUGAGUCAUCGCUGGUUCUCCCUGACCAGAGUGAGCGGUGAAAGUAAGGCUGAGUUCGUCUUCGCCUCGUUGACCGAAGACGAGGGUCCUUAUGAAGAGCUCCUGAAUACACCAGAGGAUAGUAUAAUAUAACAGUAUUUGUGUUUUAUAUGAGAGCUGAAAGAACAGGAGACGGACAUGAAGACCAGACAGAUACGGGCGGCUGACAUUCUGGGUCCUGAUGGAUUGCUCUCUAUGGAUCACAGCACCCCUGGCUUUGGGUGAGAUAAGCUUAAUCAGCCACAGGUCGGACCUGGGUACAGCCCAGAUACUUCUCCACCUCUGUAUCUCUGUCUCCAAGCAUUCUAUAGCUCGUAUGUUCCAUGCCUAACUACAGUCCUUCCAGCCAUUUAGACACAGCAAAGCAGUACCAAGGCAAGGGUUUGAACCGCACUGAUAACCAUGGCAUUUCUCAUGAAUGUGCAUCCUGAUAUUUGAGGGUCAAUGUGGAAUGGCCAGUUUUUUGGGAUAAUUACAUUUACUUACGUAAAAGACAUUUCUUUUCACGUGAGUGAGCAUGAACGAUGGCUCAAAUGAUGUGCUCAGUGAAUAUAUUAAGGUACCUUCUUAAACAAGAUAAAUGUUAAGCCAUACUCUGUAUCAGAGAUUUGACACAUUUAUUUUAAUUCAUGUCUACCUCUAACAAGGAACAGUAUUAUGACUUGGUAAUUCAAUACAGUUUAGGUGAAUGUCAAAUCCUCUGAAGGAAUAUUUAAAUCUAUAAUACGAUUUAAAGAGUACAGUAAUGUGGAUAUACUACUACAAUCCUCCCAUGUCAUAGUAGUUCAUUUAUGGUAUGACUUGAACAUAAAUGUAAGGUUCUGAUAUACUGUAAAAAUAAAUAAAUGUCUGCAUUACCGUAUGUGCAGGCUGAGGUUCAGAUCUA